rnacentral:rRNA from 1 species
AUGGGUUUAUAUUUUUAGUUUAUGUAUUAGAUUGUUUUAAGGUUUAAGUUAUUAUAGAUUUAUAUAUGUGUUUGUGAGACUAAUAGAUUAGGAGUACUGUGAAGGAAAGAUUUUAAAUUUUAGGUAUUUUUAUUUUUUUUACCUUUUGUAUCAUGGUUUAACUAUUAUUAUCCUUGGUUUAAAAGUUUUUCCCGAAUUAUUGGCGAGCUAAUGUAUUCUUUUUAUUUAGAAAUUUAUUUUUGGUUCUUUCCAUUAGAGAAGUUUAUAUUAGUAGUGACAUGCUAGUCGUGCAAUAAAAUAACUGGUUUUUCUUUGUUUUUCUUAAUGAUAAGAUUUUUUUUCCUUUAAAUAAGGAUAAUGUAUUGUUAUUUAAAAGAAGGGGAUAAGCUCUUCUUUUUGGGAGUUUAAAGCUCUUUUAUUUGUUAAAAGUUGUAAAUUGUUUUUGUUUUGGGGUAAGGUGUGGUUAAUUGCAUUUCUCCUUAAAUAGCGUUAAAGCAUUUUUCUUUUAGGUAUUUAUUUUUUUUUUCUUUUUAUAUUUUUUCAAAGAGAAGUUAUGUUUUUUCUUAAGUUAUAAUGUUAAAAUAAGUAAUUUUAAUUUUUUUAUUAUAUGAUGGGUUAAUUUUAAUUUAAAUUUUCUGAGGAAUUAGGCAAAAUAAAUCUCGCCUGUUUACUAAAAACAUCGUCUUUUGCUAAAAAGGUUUAUUGUGGUAUAAAAGGUAGAAACUGCCCAGUGCACUUUUGUUAUAAAAAUUUUAUAGCAGUCAACGGCGGCGGUAUUUUUAACUGUCCUAAGGUAGCGUAAUUAUUUGGCUUUUAAUUGAAGUCUGGUAUGAAGGGGUUGACGAGGAUUUUUCUGUCUUAGAGAUAAAUAGUGAAUUUAGUUUUAAAGUAAAAAUACUUUAAUGUGUUUUAGGGACGAUAAGACCCCGACGAGUUUUUUCUUUCCUUUGGUUUUUUGUUUAAAGGGUAGGUUUGGUUGGGGCAACUUUUUAUUUUUAAUUUUUUUAAUUUAAUUUCUUUAUUUUGAGAAGUUUUGGGUUUGUUCUAUUAGAAAAAGUUUUUGGUUUUGAUCUAGAUUUAGUUUUAGUGUUUGUUAAAAUUACCGCGGGGGUAACAGCGUGGUUUUUCUGGAGAGUCCAUAUUGAAGGAAUAGUUCGCGACCUCGAUGUAGAAUCAUUCUUUCCUGGUGGAGUAGUAAUUACCAAGGGUGGGUUUGUUCAACCUUUAAAAGAAUACGUGAUUUGUGUUUAGACCGUGGUAACACAGGUCAGUUUCUAUCUUUUAUUUUUUUUCUUUUCUUGUACGAAAGGAUCGGAAGGUUUAAAUUUCUUCAUAGUAGGUUUAUUUUUAAGAUUUGGUUGUUUAAAAUUUUUGGGUUUAU